GACGAACGCUGGCGGCGUGCUUAACACAUGCAAGUCGAACGGAAAGGCCCUGCUUUUGUGGGGUGCUCGAGUGGCGAACGGGUGAGUAACACGUGAGUAACCUGCCCUUGACUUUGGGAUAACUUCAGGAAACUGGGGCUAAUACCGGAUAGGAGCUACUGCUGCAUGGUGGGGGUUGGAAAGAUUCGGCGGUUCGGGAUGUACUAGAGGCUUAUCAGCUAGUUGGUGGGGUAGUGGUUUACCAAGGCUUUGACGGGUAGCCGGCCUGAGAGGGUGGCCGGCGACAAUGGGACUGAGAGACGGCGCAGACGCGUACGGGACGCAGCAGUGGAGAGUAUUGCAGAGUGAGGGGACGCCUGAGGCGGCAACGCCGCGUGCGGGAUGACGGGUUUUGAGUUGUAAACCGCUUUCGCCUGUGACGAGGAGGGAGUGACGGUAAUGGGUAAAGAAGCACCGGCUAACUACGUG
rnacentral:rRNA from 1 species